GAUGAAGAACGCAGUGAAACGCGAUAAGUAAUGUGAAUUGCAGAAUUCAGUGAAUCAUCGAAUCUUUGAACGCACAUUGCGCCCCCUGGUAUUCCGGGGGGCAUGCCUGUCCGAGCGUCAUUACAACCCUCAAGCUCAGCUUGGUGUUGGGCCCCGCCGCCCCGGCGGGCCCUAAAGUCAGUGGCGGUGCCGUCCGGCUCCGAGCGUAGUAAUUCUUCUCGCUCUGGAGGUCCGGUCGUGUGCUCGCCAGCAACCCCCAAUUUUUUUCAGGUUGACCUCGGAUCAGGUAGGGAUACCCGCUGAACUUAAGCAUAUCAAUAAGCGGAGGA
rnacentral:misc_RNA from 1 species